rnacentral:tRNA from 2 species
GGUAGGUUGGCCGAGUGGCAAGGCACUCCUCUGCUAAGGGAGCGAGGUGACGAUCAGCGAUGACGCGCGCGUUCGAUCCGGCACCUACCUCCA